CUUUUAAGCACCCUCUUAUGACAUAAGCUGAGCUUGUGUUUCCAAUAAAAAACCAUAAGAUCAUCUUGUUGUUUUUGAAUCUCUCAUUAAAAUCCCACUUACCAUCUCGAUCUCUUCCCACUUCCCUCCUUCCAUUUUGAAAAUCUCUCCUUUGCUCUCUUUCUUUGCUGUCUUAGCAAGACUAUUCAAUUGUUGCUGUUUUUUUUCCCCAUUUGAGAAAGGUGUGUGAAUUCUGAAGAUUUGUAAAGAUGAAUGACCUCAUGACCAAAUCGUUUAUGAGCUAUGUGGACCUAAAGAAAGAGGCCAUGAAAGAUCUUGAAGCUGGUCCUGACCCUGUUGUAGAAAUGGCAAAUGCAUCAAACACCAUGGACAGCAAUCUUGGUCUGUUCCUUGAAGAAGCUGAGGAUGUAAAGAAAGAAAUGCGAUCGAUCCGUGAGAUUCUUGACCAGUUGCAAGAAGCAAAUGAAGAAAGCAAGUCCUUACACAAACACGAGGCCUUAAAAUCGAUACGAGACAAAAUCAAUGCAGAUAUCGUUAAAGGCCUGAAAAAGGCCAGAAGUAUUAAAACCCAGCUUGAAGAAAUGGAUCGUGCCAAUGCUGCUAAUAGGCGCCUUUCAGGGUACAAGGAAGGAACUCCGAUUUAUAGAACAAGGGUUGCUGUUACUAAUUGCUUGCGCAAGAAAUUGAAGGAGCUGAUGAUGGAUUUUCAAGCUUUAAGGCAAAAGAUGAUGAUUGAGUAUAAAGAUACUGUUGGUAGGAGGUAUUUCACUGUUACCGGAGAGUACCCAGAUGAGGAAAUCAUUGAUAAGAUCAUCUCUGAUGGUAAUGGGGGUGAGGAGUUCUUGAAACGUGCAAUCCAGGAGCAUGGGAAAGGGAAGGUGCUGGAGACUGUGGUGGAGAUACAGGACAGGCAUGAUGCUGCCAAAGAGAUUGAGAAGAGCUUGUUGGAGCUGCACCAGGCGUUUUUGGACAUGGCAGUGAUGGUGGAGGCACAAGGGGAGCAGAUGGAUGAUAUUGAGCACCACGUGUUGAAUGCUAGUCACUAUGUGAAGGAUGGUACCAAAGAGCUCAAGAGUGCUAAAGAUUACCAGAAGAGCAGCAGGAAAUGGAUGUGUAUCGGUAUCAUUCUCCUUUUGAUAAUCAUUCUUGUGAUUGUUAUACCUAUCGUUACUAGCUUUAGCUACUCUUGAAUUGGAGGGCCUUAUGGAGGAUUUAAUGACCUGUUAUUCCUUCUGGCUUUCUUGCUUUACUUUUGGAGGAUAUGCUUUAAUCCCUUAUUUUGGGGCCAGAUUAAGCGGGGAGGGGGUUCGGUUUUCUCUCGUCACUGCUUCACUCUUUGAGUAAUGGUAGGAUUUAAUGUUGUGAUGUAAAUUUGGAAAAAUUGCUUUAUUCUUUAUGCUCGUUCUUUGCUCCAAUCCUGGAAGUUUACAACUUUAGAUUCUGCACAGACAGUUGUUUUAGAACAGGUGUCGGCAAUGACUUUUAGAGAAAGAAAUAUAUGGACUUGAAAAGCAGCAGGAUUGCCUUUAGGCAAGAUAGCCUGUAUAUUGUUCUGGUUUUUCAGAGAAACACGAUCCAUCAUCCUUCUUUAUCUUUGAAUGGGUGCCUUUUUGGAGCAACUUCAUGAUCCAAUGUAGGGAAUUCAGGAGGCAAUUGGGUCUUGGCUAGAAACUAUAGAAACAAAUUGAAAAAGGAAAUGCAGCAGAAAUAAAAAAGAAAAAAAAUCCAGAUUUCCUUUUCUGGACUCAAAAAGAUUUAGCUGUGCAUUUCUGAAAUAGUAAAAGGCAUGAAGAAGAAGACUUCAAUAUUUUCUUCUAAGUUGAAUUCUAUCUAAACUUCGCUUCCAUUUUCAGAUCACUCAACAUAUCAUAUCCAUUUCUUCUUUACUUGGUCUUCCUCGUCUUUUUGGAGUUAAUAAAUUCUUCUGCCAAUCUCUGGAACAAGCUCAACUCAGUCUACCUCGUCUCUUCUAUUUCUUCAACUUCCUUUAUUAUGUGUGCUGAUGAAUUUGUUGAAGUCUCUUCCUAUGCUUUCAAGUUCAAGCACAAUGCUUUCUGGCAGAAACUUGAUAGUGAAGGAAAUGGAAAUUACCAGUCAUCUUUAUUGUGAAGGAACGCAUUGUUAUGAUUGUAGAGCAUUGCAGGAUACACUGGAUCUUGCACAAACCUCUGUACAGUUGAUCGGGUGAAAAAGCCAAUAUCUGGAGUUCUCCAGGACAAGUUCCCGACAAGCUUGUUGGAUUCUGUAUGGAAUUUAUGCAAUUGGCAGUCAAAAGUAUCACAAGUAGGAUUUAGGCCACUAGUGAUGAACCACUUCCCAACGAAAUCUGCAACAUUAAAGUUCUUGACAAGAAUGGCAGGAUCAGGGACGGAAUUCCAACAUCAGACUUCUGAGUAUCUGCGAGCAUCUCAAGAGAAAGAACAGAACUUACCUGGCAUUCAUCUGCAGUAUGGAGGCAAGCAACAUUAGCAGCACAAGAUUGAGUUUGCAAUGCACUUUGCCAAUUCUAGCCCGACAAUAACAAGCUGGUAAGUAAAUGACAAUGAUGAAGGAUCAAAAUGCACUUGCCGGUUAAAUGGAAGGAAAUCCCUUUGCUACCAAAAAUUUCAACAACUAAUUCCCAUCAAUACCACCACCUCCUCAUCAAAUCUAAACAGAAAAUGCUAACCUAUAAUUCAUAUCCUAGUGUAUCUUCUGAUUGCAUAACAGUACGCCACCAUAAAUCACAUUCAGACAGAUUACUGAAAUAUGUUAAACCAUGAUUUUAAGGAUGCUUUCAUACUGAAAUGAAAGAAAUUUAACUUCUAUUAGAAUUAUGUUGUUCACUUUUCUCUAACAUUAAUGGAUUAUAAUAUUUGACC